rnacentral:rRNA from 1 species
AUUGAACGCUAGCGGGAUGCUUUACACCUGCAAGUCGAACGAGUGGCGGACGGGUGAGUAAUAUAUCGGAAAGUGCCCAGUAGCGGGGGAUAACUACUCGAAAGAGUGGCUAAUAGCGCAUACUAUUGGAGCGGCCGAUAUCGGAUUAGCUAGUUGGUGGGGUAAAGGAUCACAAAGGCAAAGAUCCGUAGCGGGUUUGAGAGGACGACCAGCCACACUGGGACUGAGACACGGCCCAGACGCCUACGGGAGGCAGCAGUGGGGAAGUUUGGACAAUGGGGGAAACCCUGAUCCAGCCAUCGCGCGUGUAUGAGAAGGCCGUCGGGGUGUAAAGUACUUUUGUCAGAGAAGCGGUAUCUGCAGAAUAAGCACCGGCUAACUACGUGCCAGCAGCCGCGGUAAUUC